AGGUCGGGGGCGUCCCCGCGGGUUAAGCGUGCAAGAGAGCGAGGUGCACCAGCGGGCAUGGAUGGCCUGUGCAGAGUCCAGUCUUGUGAGGGCGGCGAACUAGGCAGCGAAUCGCGGGAGUUUCCUAUUGGCAGCAGUCCGAGUCCCAGACGUUAAUUUGUAACAAAAGUAGCGAUGGCCAAGUCCAUAAAGGGGGCAUCUCGGAAAGCCGUUCGCAUGCACGGAAGAGAUGAAAGCCCCGUGCGCGCUAGAAAACGGUUUCGCAACUCACUUCGGGAAGCAAAUGCGCUGCCCCCCAAAACAUAAAGUUGGCGAACUGUGCCUGACCCCGCUGGGGUUUUGGAAUGCCUCGUCCUCACAGGAAAAAAAUCCAGGGAAAUCAUCUUUUCCUUAAAAAGCAAAAGUGUCCAAAUUAUUUCUGUGACUGAAGUAGUUUGUCUGCGGUUGGCCAGUGACAUGGCAAGGCCUUGUUUGUGCAUUUAAGGUAAAUCAGAUUCUCUUCUAGGAGUCUGGAAGAGAACUUCCCCAAAGGGCACCCUCUUUCCCUUCUGACACAGAGGAAAUACCACAUAUAAAGAGCUACAAAUGUUUGAAGGAGAAAAAAAAAAAAGAAAAAUUCCAGCAUGUUAAAAUUUGAUAUUUUAUGUAGGCCCUUUUCAGCAAUGGUAGUUAAUUCCAAAAAGAACCACACGAGAGGUUUCACAUGUGGGGUCAUCCAUCCUUCCAGGGACGCAGAAGGUUCCUACACAUACUAGGUGUCUGAUGAAUGUGAGCUCCCUUCCCCCUGCUUACCUCCUCCAUAGGAAUGCAUGCCUAUCCAGAAAAACACAAAACACACGCAUGUCAGGCCUCUGAGCCCAAGCCUGCACAUAUACAUCCAGAUGGCCUGAAGCAACUGAAGAAUCACAAAAGAAGUGAAAACGCUGAAGCAACUGAAGAAUCACAAAAGACGUGAAAAUGGCCGGUUCCUGCCUUAACUGAUAAGACAAUCACCUGUCCUCCUGCUCUUUGCUCUGUGAGAAAGAUCCACCUACAACCUCAGGUCCUCAGACCAACCAGCUCCAGGAACAUCUCACCAAUUUUAAAUUGGAAGACAAGAAUGUCAAGACUCUGAGCCCAAGCCUGCACAUAUACAUCCAGAUGGCAUGAAGCUACUGAAGAAUCACAAAAGAAGUGAAAAUGGUCGGUUCCUGCCUUAACUGAUGACAUUACCUUGUGAAAUUCCUUCUGGCUCAGAAGCUCCCCCACUGAGCACCUUGUGACGCCUGCCACUACCCACAAGAGAACAACCCCCUUUGACUGUAAUUUUCCACUACCUACCCAAAUCCUAUAAAACUGUCCCAGCCCUAACUUCCUUUGCUGACUCUCUUUUCGGACUCAGCCCACCUGCAAUUAGAAAGCUUUAUUGCUCACACAAAGCCUGUUGGUGGUCCCUUCACACGAACACACGUGACAAUGCACAUACACAUUUUUUAAGCAUUCCAAAAUCAUCACAUUUUUUUCAUAUCAAGCAGACAUUUCCAAGUGUAACAUUUUGUUAUUCAGAGAUAUUUCUAAGUCCUAAGUAGUGUUAAGAGGGUAAAUUAUUUGUACUAUUAUAUACUAAUUAGUCAUGGUUCAUAUAUAAUAUAGAAAUAUUUUAUUUCACAUUAACCAACAAAAAUAUGUUGAAACGAUUUCCAAUCUUUAAUUGUGAAAUAAUUGUAGGUUCACAAGAAGUUGCAAAUAUAGUAGAGGUGCUGUGUACCCUUCAUCCAGUUUCCCCCAAUGGUUACAUCUUUUUAUAACUAUAGUACAAUAUCAAAACAAGGAAAUUGGCAUUGUAUAAUGUAUGUGCCCACAGUAGGCCCCCCUUAUCCUCAGGGAAUAGUUCUAAGACUCCAGUAGAUGUCUGAACCCACCAAUAGUACCAAACCUGAUUGCCACUGUGAAAGUUGAUCAUAUAAAUUCAGUCAUUCUUAUCAUGCCCAAUUAAAACAAAGUCGAGAGGCCAGGGGAGAAAAGCACUCAGGAAACAUCAUAUAUUACCCUAAGAAUGUAAUUGUCUGCAACCCCACCCACAGAAACUGGUUAUUGUUAACUUAAAACCAGUUUUAUCUAAUAGCUAUUGAAACAACCUGCUUCUACUAUAAGACUUUUUACCCACUACCAACACUCACCAAUCAGAACUUGCCAGGUCCCCCAAAACUUUACAAGUGCUAAUGAACCUUCAGAACAAUACAUGUGACUCCUUUUUAUAAAACCUCAAACUUUCUCUUUGUUCGUUGGACAUACCAAAGACCACUCGUGUAUGCUUGGACUUGCAGUUCUUGCUUCCCAAAUAAAACGUUUUAGAUUCA